rnacentral:rRNA from 1 species
AUUGAACGCUGGCGGAAUGCUUUACACAUGCAAGUCGAACGGCAGCACGGGAGCAAUCCUGGUGGCGAGUGGCGAACGGGUGAGUAAUGUAUCGGAACGUACCUUUCAGUGGGGGAUAACGUAGCGAAAGUUACGCUAAUACCGCAUAUUCUGUGAGCAGGAAAGCAGGGGAUCGCAAGACCUUGCGCUGAUUGAGCGGCCGAUAUCAGAUUAGCUAGUUGGUGAGGUAAAGGCUCACCAAGGCGACGAUCUGUAGCGGGUCUGAGAGGAUGAUCCGCCACACUGGAACUGAGACACGGUCCAGACUCCUACGGGAGGCAGCAGUGGGGAAUUUUGGACAAUGGGCGCAAGCCUGAUCCAGCCAUGCCGCGUGAGUGAAGAAGGCCUUCGGUUGUAAGACUCUUC